AUGCAAACAAAAUGGUUCCAAAUUCUAAUUGAAGAAAGCUUGGUGAAGUUGGUAUAUAUAUUAUUUUCCAAUAAGAUAAAGAGAGAACAAAUUCAGUUAAGAAGACGAGGAGAAAUAGGGUACAUUAAUGAUCCCAAAUGAUAAAAAGGAGGAAAGUUCCUUUAUGUAACAUUGGAAACCAGGAAGUAUAGAGGUAACUGUUUAAAUGGUUCCUUCUCUAUUUACUCAACUCAAACCAGGAAGUAUACAUUACGAAAAUGUGACAUGGCCAUAAAAUGUCUAAUAAACAUGAAAACAAUGAAAUAAACACAAUAUUACAUUUUC
rnacentral:lncRNA from 1 species